rnacentral:snRNA from 1 species
UGAGGGAGAUACCAUGAUCAAGAAGGUGGUUUUCCCAUUGUGAGGCUCACCUAUUGCACUCUGGGUGUUCUGACGCCUGAGGUUUCCCCAAAUGUGGACCACCGUUCA